GUUAGUAUUUUCGAAAAACAUUGAAUGAUAACUAUGUAAUCAAACGAAUAAAUAUAAUGAAAUAUAAUUGUAAGCGUGUUAUAACACAAUAUAUAAUAUAAUUUAUAUAUAACGCGUACCUAUAGAAAUGUACAUAAUAUAUAUAUGUGUAUUGUAUACCAAUAAUUAUGAUAGUUAUUUUAACAGUCGUCGUCACUUCAAGUAAACGAGUUCUCGACGACUAACAUAUACACAAAUCGCCGAACACCUGAAAGCACGAUCGUAUAGGAAUUAGAAUAUACAUCGGCCGAAGUCGAGGUUCGUUCACCGUCCGCCAAAUCGAUCGCGAGCACCGAUUUUUCGACAAUCUAAGAAACAGCUUGACCUGCAAAAUCGCGUUGGCAAGUCGCGGUGAUUUUGGAGGGUCCAAAGGAACCAGGUGAUACAGUUCAAUACCGAACAUCACAGGGCGGCUUACUUAGGUGCGAGUUUCGAUUGAGACUUCCGAGGUUAAAAACAGCAGCGAAUUAACUUCAUGAGCAGAGACGCAGCAGUGUGUGGAAAAGGAUUUAGAGAUUCGUCCAACGAUUACCUAGUUUGUUGCUCUUGAUAUAGGUAUCAAUCAAAAAAAAAAAAAUG